UACGGAGGGGGCUAGCGUUGUUCGGAAUUACUGGGCGUAAAGCGCACGUAGGCGGCUUUGUAAGUUAGAGGUGAAAGCCCGGGGCUCAACCCCGGAAUUGCCUUUAAGACUGCAUCGCUUGAAUCCGGGAGAGGUGAGUGGAAUUCCGAGUGUAGAGGUGAAAUUCGUAGAUAUUCGGAAGAACACCAGUGGCGAAGGCGGCUCACUGGACCGGCAUUGACGCUGGAGGU
rnacentral:rRNA from 1 species